AAUCAGCAGGAUACUACAUACAAAUCUAAUACGAAUCACAUCGCAAAAUUCUUGUUACUGCCGUUACAGACAGGUUUUGUUGUUCAUAAGCUAAGGGCUGGUAAGGUUUUGCGUGUUGCAUCAAACGGGGACAGGACUACUGUUGCAGUAGGGAUGGUGCAGCGAUCAAUAGUGCAUUGAUUCGUAUCUGUGUCCACAAUUUUGUGAAUCUUAUCUACAGGGUUUGAAUCUUUCUGGGUUGUAACUCAAACUGCAGUCCAGGAUCUUGGUCCGCGGUUUGUCCGUAAAAUUGCAGUUCCAGUAUCUAUUCCUUCUCGGUCUGCUAUGGAAAUAGAUGGAUUUGAGAAAGAUUUUUAGCUAGCCAUAUCAUUGUUCCUAUUUUGUUGGGUUUUUUUUUUUUCUGGCUUGUCUAUCCAUAAGAUAUACUGUACAAACAGUAAAGAAAUCACGUCAGACCAAACAGUCGAUUAUGUAAGAUCUUCUACCGCAAAUCGACAAGUAUACAACCAAGCCUGACAAUCACAAACAACAGAGCACCACUCAAGAAAGAACCUCAAGCAUGACAACCAUGAAGUACAAAUCAAGAUAGAACACCAUUGACGGGAUAAAUAAUAGGUCCAACCUCACCUUUUGAAUUUUACCCGGAGACAACUCAGGUCGGAACUCUUACCCGUAAAAAAGAAGGGGGUCUGAAGAAAUCAUUCAGUGAGCCAGCCCUGGACAUGGGAUGGAGCUCCAACUAGGAUAGAUCCAACAAGUCGAUCCAGUUAUGGCGUUGUACAUCCCAUCAUAGAUAACAUCCAAGAAAGUCAUCAUAAAUUUCCUUGACAAAGAAAAUCAAAUAAAGGCAGUAGAAGAAUAUUAUCAUUGAUUCACUGUAAAUAAAUGGCCAGCCCAAAAACAAUUGUUCUGAGUGUACACUAGAGACAACAUACAUGUGACGGUAUACCAUCCACCUUUCAGAUCAUUUUAGUCAUAGUUCAUGGCCAAACGAAACUACCGACCAAGAAUCAACAACCGGUAAUCCUCCUAUAGAUUUCCAGCAGUCUUUAGUAUCCUAAAAUUCCCAUGCUUCUCUCAUGGAAAACGAUUCACUUCCCAAGUAACUCCAACAGGAAAAGGUCCCAGUUUCUAACUCAUUACUUCCC